CAAGUACUCCCUUCGUCCGGAAUUACUUGUCAUCAAAAUGGAUGUGUCUAGAACUAAAAUACAUCUAGAUACAUCCAUUUCAAUGACAAGUAUUUUCGGACGGAGAGAGUACAAG
rnacentral:pre_miRNA from 1 species